CCGAAUAUCUGAUGUGAGAAAUUCAAUAUUAUUUAUUGUAAUUCAUUUUUGAAAAUAUAUUAAAUAAUAUGCACUUUUCUCAUAGUAAGACAUUGUAAUCCAUUGAUAUUAUAUCUUUAUUUGUUUAAAGAUGAUUUAACAUACGGACAAAAUGUAUAUGAUUAUUCUAUAAAUGAUAUGUUUUACAUGUCAUAUGAAUAAAAUCGUUUUGUACCUGUUUAAAUAGUCGAUGGAUUUUAUAAAAUAAAAUCAUGCUUGCAAUUUAUUUUGCGUUUCGUAUCAUUAAUUUUUAAUUGAUGAUAGCAGAAAUGGCAUGUAUUUGAUUAACAAUGCGAUAGAUUUGGGAUGCCUUCGGGACCCGUCUUGA
rnacentral:rRNA from 1 species